GUCGUUGUAGUAUAGUGGUGAGUAUCCCCGCCUGUCACGCGGGAGACCCGGGAUUGAUCCCCGGCAAAGGCG
rnacentral:tRNA from 1 species